UACGUAGGUGGCAAGCGUUGCUCGGAAUCACUGGGCGUAAAGGGCGCGUAGGCGGCGCGGUAAGUCACUUGUGAAAUCUCUGAGCUUAACUCAGAACGGCCAAGUGAUACUGCAGUGCUAGAGUGUGGAAGGGGCAAUCGGAAUUCUUGGUGUAGCGGUGAAAUGCGUAGAUAUCAAGAGGAACACCUGAGGUGAAGACGGGUUGCUGGGCCAACACUGACGCUGAGGCGCGAAAGCCAGGGGAGCAAACGGG
rnacentral:rRNA from 1 species